AGAGUUUGAUCAUGGCUCAGGACGAACGCUGGCGGCGUGCCUAAUACAUGCAAGUCGAGCGCAGGAAGCUCGCGGAACUCUUCGGAGGGAAGCAAGUGGAAUGAGCGGCGGACGGGUGAGUAACACGUAAGGAACCUGCCUCAAGGAUUGGGAUAACUCCGAGAAAUCGGAGCUAAUACCGGAUAGUUCUUCGGACCGCAUGGUCCGAUGAUGAAAGGCGCUUCGGCGUCACCUUGAGAUGGCCUUGCGGUGCAUUAGCUAGUUGGUGGGGUAAUGGCCUACCAAGGCGACGAUGCAUAGCCGACCUGAGAGGGUGAUCGGCCACACUGGGACUGAGACACGGCCCAGACUCCUACGGGAGGCAGCAGUAGGGAAUCUUCCACAAUGGACGAAAGUCUGAUGGAGCAACGCCGCGUGAGUGAUGAAGGUUUUCGGAUCGUAAAACUCUGUUGUAAGGGAAGAACAGAUACGAGAGGUAAUGCUCGUAUCCUGACGGUACCUUGCGAGAAAGCCACGGCUAACUACGUGCCAGCAGCCGCGGUAAUACGUAGGUGGCAAGCGUUGUCCGGAAUUAUUGGGCGUAAAGCGCGCGCAGGCGGCCUUUUAAGUCUGAUGUGAAAGCCCCCGGCUCAACCGGGGAGGGUCAUUGGAAACUGGAAGGCUUGAGUACAGAAGAGAAGAGUGGAAUUCCAUGUGUAGCGGUGAAAUGCGUAGAGAUGUGGAGGAACACCAGUGGCGAAGGCGACUCUUUGGUCUGUAACUGACGCUGAGGCGCGAAAGCGUGGGGAGCAAACAGGAUUAGAUACCCUGGUAGUCCACGCCGUAAACGAUGAGUGCUAGGUGUUGGGGGGUUUCCGCCCCUCAGUGCUGAAGCUAACGCAUUAAGCACUCCGCCUGGGGAGUACGGCCGCAAGGCUGAAACUCAAAGGAAUUGACGG
rnacentral:rRNA from 1 species